UCCCUUGCUUUUAACACAGUUUACACAACCUUGCACAUAAAGUUUAAACUAAUAAACAUUCCAAUACUGCAACAACUGUCGAUUUGAACAAUCAUUGUUUUUCAACUGUUUUGGCCAAUAAAACCAUUCACAUAAACAAAAUACUUUCAGUUGUUACUAGGAUAUGACAUUUAGAGCACUGAUAAUAUAUGAUAAGUGCAAAAAAGACAGCUUAAAAAUUCCUGUUUACCUGAUAAUGAAACUUACUGCUUACUGUAAUCAAGUUCCAAUUAUGGCAUUUGUAAAUGAAUUUUUCAGUCUUGUGUAAUGGGACAAGCUAAUACUGAUAACAGAAUUUACAGUUAUAGUAGAAAAAUUCUGUUGUGUAGAUACUAACCUUCAUUUUAAGUUCUCAUAACUAAAGCCAAAUGAACUGCCGGAUUAUCAGACUAUUUGUUUUUUUUAUAAUAAAAUUUGACAAUGAAACAAGAAUACUGGGCUUUUAUGAAUGGAUAUACAAGGCAAAGCAUGAUGCAAGGACAAACAAAUUCAAAUUUUGAUGACGAGGAGCUACAGUCAGCAUGAAGUUGCCAAAAAAUUUAACAGGAUGCAUUCAGUCUCCCCACCAAUCAUAUACAGUUUGGUCUGAAGGAAACUUUUAAACUGAAGAUCAUCAUCAUCAUCAUCAUCGUAAUUACUUGAAUUUAUUCCUCUACUCAUCACCAUGCUUAAAAAAUAAUCAUUGUAACUUCCAAGAGGCCAGACUUAGGGAAAUCCUAUACAAUCAAUUUUAAGUCAACAAUGACCAAACUUUUUGAUUGGUGGGCCAAAUCAUGUCUUAACAGUAAAUAUGUAAGACACAUUUUGUAUACAAACAAAAGCCUAUUUCUCUCAAUCUAUCUGUCAAACAUGUUUACAAGCCAGAUUUGGCUCGCUUACUUCGGACAUUGCCAGUUUAUCAAUCCUAGUUUAAUGGUAAAGUUUAAAGCAUUAAAACACAAAAAAAAAACCCAGUAAAAACUAAAAAUUAAUUGUAUAAAACACACAAUUUUCUUGAAUUGUAAUAAUUACUAUACUACAUCUUCCAUAAAGUGAAUAAUUGUGUAUAAUUAAGUAUUGUUUAUAUAUUUGUAAGGUGUCUUUGUGUAAGAAAUUUGAUCAGAUUUUAUUAAACAGAGCAUGCCAAAGACCCCACCGUGGUACCCAAACCCAAAUAUAGUGUCAAAACCCCAACGUAGCCCAAAGCACCAAACCCAAACUACAGCACCAAAAACCUCCAGAUGUAGCCCAAAGUGAAGUACCCUGAGUACUAAAUGCAA